rnacentral:ncRNA from 3 species
ACAGGGAUAACUGGCUUGUG